GAUGAACGCUGGCGGCGUGCCUAAUACAUGCAAGUCGAGCGAACAGAUGAGGAGCUUGCUCCUCUGACGUUAGCGGCGGACGGGUGAGUAACACGUGGAUAACCUACCUAUAAGACUGGGAUAACUUCGGGAAACCGGAGCUAAUACCGGAUAAUAUAUUGAACCGCAUGGUUCAAUAGUGAAAGACGGUUUUGCUGUCACUUAUAGAUGGAUCCGCGCCGCAUUAGCUAGUUGGUAAGGUAACGGCUUACCAAGGCAACGAUGCGUAGCCGACCUGAGAGGGUGAUCGGCCACACUGGAACUGAGACACGGUCCAGACUCCUACGGGAGGCAGCAGUAGGGAAUCUUCCGCAAUGGGCGAAAGCCUGACGGAGCAACGCCGCGUGAGUGAUGAAGGUCUUCGGAUCGUAAAACUCUGUUAUUAUGGAAGAACAAAUGUGUAAGUAACUAUGCACGUCUUGACGGUACCUAAUCAGAAAGCCACGGCUAACUACGUG
rnacentral:rRNA from 1 species